GUGCUUGCUUCAGCAACACAUAUGCUAAAACUGGAACGAUUACAGAGAUUAGCAUGGCCUCUGCACAAGGAUGACAUGCAAAUUUGUGAAGCAUUCCAUAUGAAA